UAAGCAUAUCAAUAAGCGGAGGAAAAGAAACCAACAGGGAUUCCCCUAGUAACGGCGAGUGAAGCGGGAACAGCUCAAAUUUGAAAUCUGGCCCUUGGGUCCGAGUUGUAAUUUGUAGAGGAUGCUUUUGGUGCGGUGCCUUCCGAGUUCCCUGGAACGGGACGCCUUAGAGGGUGAGAGCCCCGUACGGUUGGACGCCUAGCCUCUGUAAAGCUCCUUCGACGAGUCGAGUAGUUUGGGAAUGCUGCUCUAAAUGGGAGGUAUAUUUCUUCUAAAGCUAAAUACUGGCCAGAGACCGAUAGCGCACAAGUAGAGUGAUCGAAAGAUGAAAAGCACUUUGAAAAGAGGGUUAAAUAGCACGUGAAAUUGUUGAAAGGGAAGCGUUUAUCACCAGACUUUUUCUGGGGGGAUCAUCCGGUGUUCUCACCGGUGCACUUCCCCCAGUUGAGGCCAGCAUCGGUUUUCGGAGGGGGAUAAAAGCUUCGGGAAUGUGACUCCCUCGGGAGUGUUAUAGCCCGUUGCAUAAUACCCUUCUGGGGACCGAGGUUCGCGCAUCUGCAAGGAUGCUGGCAUAAUGGUGAUCAACGACCCG
rnacentral:rRNA from 1 species